GACGAACGCUGGCGGCGUGCUUAACACAUGCAAGUCGAACGGAAAGGCCCUGCUUUUGUGGGGUGCUCGAGUGGCGAACGGGUGAGUAACACGUGAGUAACCUGCCCUUGACUUUGGGAUAACUUCAGGAAACUGGGGCUAAUACCGGAUAGGAGCGCCUGCUGCAUGGUGGGGGUGGGAAAGUUUCGGCGGUUGGGGAUGGACUCGCGGCUUAUCAGCUUGUUGGUGGGGGAGUGGCUUACCAAGGCUUUGGCGGGUAGCCGGCCUGAGAGGGUGAACGGGCCCAUUGGGACUGAGGUACGGCCCAGAGUCGUACGGGAGGCAGGAGUGGGGACUAUUGCACAAUGGGCGGAAGCCUGAUGCAGCAACGCCGCGUGCGGGAUGAUGGCCUUCGGGUUGUAAACCGCAUUCGCCUGUGACGAAGCGUGAGUGACGGUAAUGGGUAAAGAAGCACCGGCUAACUACGUG
rnacentral:rRNA from 1 species